GGUUCUUUUCUGCAGUAGAGAACAACACUUCGAGCUUAGCCAUGGCUGUGUGGAGAAAGGGGCUACCACACGGGCCACCUGGAGAAGAACAGAGGUGGUGGUUCUCAUAGUUUUACCCUAUAAAGUCACAGGAGGCCCUAGGACUGUGCAUGUCUAUCUAUGUGAGGAGAAGGAAGCAACACAACUGUUGACCAAAGAUGAGAGAUAUUCCGCUGUGGGAUGUCGUUCUGUACGCUGUGAACAUGCGUCGCUAUGAUUGCUCAAUAAAGAAGCUGAUGAGUCAGGACAUACAUAGCCAGACAGGAUAUCCAAGAGAGAGACAGGAAGAAAGGCAGAGGACAGGAAGAUGCCAAACCACCAUCCAAGGAACAACAUGUCACGGGAUGCAGGACUAGGACUUGUCAUCUCCCUUGGAUCUUCCAGGGCUGCAACAACUGCCAUCGUCCAGACACGUCAUCUGGCUGGAGACUUCAGACACAGACUUGAUCGGCCAUGGUAUCUACACCUCAGAGCCUCGAGUCACUCCAAAGACAGAUGAACUGUCCUGCCAGGGUUGUGCUUCAUGACAGAAGAACACUAGACACAAUAACUGCUGGACAUGGGCAGACUUGCUUGGUGUUGGAGGAAAGUGUUGCUUCUAUAUAAACAAAUCAGACAUUGUGAAAACUAAUGUCAACACCCUCAACAAUCUGCACAAAGACCUACACUCAAAAUUCCAGCCCAUGGAGCACAUUAGCUGGUUCCAUAACCUCUUAUUUUUGUGGCUCCUACUCUUUAUCAGUGCUCUGAUUAUGCUGUUUCAGUUUGAUGCUUCAGUUCUUCCAUUACUAAAAUUACCACCAAUCAGGUCAUGGCUCAUUACCAGGCCCUGGACCCUUCUAACACAGGUGACAGGUUCUUCAGGGCUUACGAUGAUACCUUUCCACCACAAAAUGGGGAGAUGUUGGAAUGUUCUCACUGACUGGUAGUGGUUGUAGCCUCCCAUGGCCUGGUAGCUUAUCUCAAUAGAUCGAAGACACGGGACUCCCUCCCUCCCCAGCAGAACUUCCUGCCUCCACCUGCCCUUAUCCGGAGAAUGUCCCUAGGUCUAGAGGACUGACCUUAUCUGAAAGCUGCCAGAUGCCUGAUUUCAUCAAAAGCAGUCUCCGGGAGGACUGUCUCCAUUCCUGCUCAUGGGCCCUGUACAAAGCUUUCUGCUGCCAAUUCUGCCUCUUUGCAUUCCCAGACUGAUGGCUGCCAAGCCAAGAGGAAGAAGAGGACUGCCACACCUCCCCAUAUGACUUAUGAAUGUGUAUGGAAAAACAA